GACGAACGCUGGCGGCGUGCUUAACACAUGCAAGUCGAACGGAAAGGCCCUGCUUUUGUGGGGUGCUCGAGUGGCGAACGGGUGAGUAACACGUGAGUAACCUGCCCUUGACUUUGGGAUAACUUCAGGAAACUGGGGCUAAUACCGGAUAGGAGCUCCUGCUGCAUGGUGGGGGUUGGAAAGUUUCGGCGGUUGGGGAUGGACUCGCGGCUUAUCAGCUUGUUGGUGGGGUAGUGGCUUACCAAGGCUUUGACGGGUAGCCGGCCGGAGAGGGUGGCCGGCCACAUUGGGACUGCGAUACGGCCCAGACUCCUACGGGAGGCAGCAGUGGGGAAUAUUGCCCAAUGGGCGGAAGCCUGAUGCAGCAACGCCGCGUGCGGGAUGACGGCCUUCGGGUUGUAAACCGCUUUCGCCUGUGACGAAGCGUGAGUGACGGUAAUGGGUAAAGAAGCACCGGCUAACUACGUG
rnacentral:rRNA from 1 species